CAAUAGCGUAUAUUAAAGUUGUUGCAGUUAAAAAGCUCGUAGUUGGAUUUCUGGACGGAGCGACCGGUCCGCCGCUGUGCGGUGUGUACUCGUGUUUGACUCGGUUCAUCCUUGUGGGAAAGCGUUUUCGGCAUUCAGUUGUCGUGGCGGGGAACCACAUCUUUUACUGUGAAAAAAUUAGAGUGUUUAAAGCAGGCAUUUUGCUGUGAAUACAUUAGCAUGGAAUAAUAACAUAGGACUCUGUUCUAUUUUGUUGGUUGGAGAUCAGGGUAAUGAUUAAUAGGGACAGUUGGGGGUAUUCAUAUUUAAUUGUCAGAGGUGAAAUUCUUGGAUUUAUGAAAGAUGAACUCAUGCGAAAGCAUUUACCAAGGAUGUUUUCAUUAA
rnacentral:rRNA from 1 species